UGCAGUCGACGAUGAAGCUACUAGCUUGCUAGAAGUGGAUUAGUGGCGCACGGGUGAGUAAGGUAUAGUUAAUCUGCCCUACACAAGAGGACAACAGUUGGAAACGACUGCUAAUACUCUAUACUCCUGCUUAACACAAGUUGAGUAGGGAAAGUUUUUCGGUGUAGGAUGAGACUAUAUAGUAUCAGCUAGUUGGUAAGGUAAUGGCUUACCAAGGCUAUGACGCUUAACUGGUCUGAGAGGAUGAUCAGUCACACUGGAACUGAGACACGGUCCAGACUCCUACGGGAGGCAGCAGUAGGGAAUAUUGCGCAAUGGGGGAAACCCUGACGCACCAACGCCGCGUGGAGGAUGACACUUUUCGGAGCGUAAACUCCUUUUCUUAGGGAAGAAUUCUGACGGUACCUAAGGAAUAAGCACCGGCUAACUCCGUGCCAGCAGCCCGCGGUAAUACGGGAGGGGUGCAAGCGUUAUCUCGGAAUCACUGGGCGUAAAGGGCGCGUAGGCGGAUUAUCAAGUCUCUUGUGAAAUCUAAUGGCUUAACCAUUAAACUGCUUGGGAAACUGAUAGUCUAGAGUGAGGGAGAGGCAGAUGGAAUUGGUGGUGUAGGGGGUAAAAUCCGUAGAUAUCACCAAGAAUACCCAUUGCGAAGGCGAUCUGCUGGAACUCAACUGACGCUAAGGCGCGAAAGCGUGGGGAGCAAACAGGAUUAGAUACCCUGGUAGUCCACGCCCUAAACGAUGUACACUAGUUGUUGGGGUGCUAGUCAUCUCAGUAAUGCAGCUAACGCAUUAAGUGUACCGCCUGGGGAGUACGGUCGCAAGAUUAAAACUCAAAGGAAUAGACGGGGACCCGCACAAGCGGUGGAGCAUGGGGGUUUAAUUCGAAGAUACGCGAAGAACCUUACCUGGGCUUGAUAUCCUAAGAACCUUUUAGAGAUAAGAGGGUGCUAGCUUGCUAGAACUUAGAGACAGGUGCUGCACGGCUGUCGUCAGCUCGUGUCGUGAGAUGUUGGGUUAAGUCCCGCAACGAGCGCAACCCACGUAUUUAGUUGCUAACGGUUCGGCCGAGCACUCUAAAUAGACUGCCUUCGUAAGGAGGAGGAAGGUGUGGACGACGUCAAGUCAUCAUGGCCCUUAUGCCCAGGGCGACACACGUGCUACAAUGGCAUAUACAAUGAGACGCAAUACCGCGAGGUGGAGCAAAUCUAUAAAAUAUGUCCCAGUUCGGAUUGUUCUCUGCAACUCGAGAGCAUGAAGCCGGAAUCGCUAGUAAUCGUAGAUCAGCCAUGCUACGGUGAAUACGUUCCCGGGUCUUGUACUCACCGCCCGUCACACCAUGGGAGUUGAUUUCACU
rnacentral:rRNA from 1 species